rnacentral:rRNA from 1 species
UACGUAGGGUGCGAGCGUUAAUCGGAAUUACUGGGCGUAAAGCGUGCGUAGGCGGUUCGUUAAGUUCGUUGUGAAAGCCCCGGGCUCAACCUGGGAAUGGCAAUGGAAACUGGCGGGCUUGAGUAUGGCAGAGGGGGGUGGAAUUCCGCGUGUAGCGGUGAAAUGCGUAGAUAUCUGGAGGAACACCGGUGGCGAAGGCGGCGUUCUGGACUGCAACUGACACUGAAAAACGAAAGCCAGGGGAGCAAACGGG